rnacentral:rRNA from 1 species
CGAGAACGCUCCUUCGGGAGCAAGUAAAGUGGCGAACGGGUGAGUAACGCGUAGACAACCUGCCCUCUAGUGGGGGAUAACCACGGGAAACUGUGGCUAAUACCGCACGACAUCUUCGACCCGCAUGGGUCCUGGAUCAAAGCCUUCGGGCGCUAGAGGAUGGGUCUGCGUCGGAUUAGCUUGUUGGUGAGGUAAAAGCUCACCAAGGCUACGAUCCGUAACUGGUCUGAGAGGAUGAUCAGUCACACUGGCACUGAGACACGGGCCAGACUCCUACGGGAGGCAGCAGUGGGGAAUCUUAGGCAAUGGGGGAAACCCUGACCUAGCCAUGCCGCGUGGAGGAAGACACCCCUACGGGGCGUAAACUCCUUUUCUGUCGGAAGAAAACCCUGUUUUGCAGGGCGUGACGGUACGGCAGGAAUAAGCACCGGCUAACUCCGUGCCAGCAGCCGCGGUAAUACGGAGGGUGCAAGCGUUGUCCGGAAUCACUGGGCGUAAAGGGUGUGCAGGUGGGACAGCAAGUCAGAGGUGAAAGCCCGCGGCUCAACCGUGGAAGUGCCUUUGAAACUGCUGUUCUUGAGUCCUGGAGAGGUUGCUGGAAUUCGUGGUGUAGCGGUGAAAUGCGUAGAUAUCACGAGGAACACCAGAGGCGAAAGCGAGCAACUGGACAGGUACUGACGCUGAGGCACGAGAGCGUGGGGAGCAAACAGGAUUAGAUACCCUGGUAGUCCACGCCGUAAACGAUGAACGUUCGCCGUUGUCCCAUUAGUGGGCAGUGGCUAAGCUAACGCGUUAAACGUUCCGCCUGGGGAGUACGACCGCAAGGUUGAACUCAAAGGAAUUGACGGGGCCCGCACAAGCGGUGGAGCAUGUGGCUUAUUCGAUGCACGCGAAGACCUUACUAGGCUCGACGCUAGAUGGCACUCCGAAAGAUCUCCGUAAGGCAUCUAGCGAGUGCUGCUGCUGCGUC